rnacentral:rRNA from 1 species
GGGUGCGAUCAUACCAGCACUAAUGCACCGGAUCCCAUCAGAACUCCGAAGUUAAGCGUGCUUGGGCGAGAGUAAUACUAGGAUGGGUGACCCCCUGGGAAGUCCUCGUGUUGCACCCC